GCGGCACCGUGUCCCCGCCGGUGGAGGAGCGGAGCGGAGCGGAGCCGCCGCAUCCACCCCCUCGGGCCGGCCCCGCCGGCUGCCCCCGCCCUGGUGGGAGGUGGGAAAGGCAGCGGGGUCCGCCCGCAGCCGCGGCGCGCCCCGAAGUGGCUGUGCACGGCGCGUGUGUGUCCCCCCACUCCGCCCCGCUGUCGCCGAUAAAUCCCACUGCCUGGGCGACAGCGCGGCACUCGGCGGCUGCCGCGCUGCGGGGUGGCGGCGGGGCCCUGCCCGCCCCGCGCCUCGGGGCAGCGACCCCCGCCCAGGGGGCAACAGGAGCCGCUGGAACCCAGGUACAAAGCUGAGUGCUGUAGGGAGAGCGUGUGUGAAGAGAAAAGCAAGGCUGCAACAGCCCGCCGAAACGUGCUCAAGGUCAGCCCCUCGCACAGAAGACUGAGGUCACAUUUGGCUCAGAAGAAAUCACGAAGAUCAGCUCCAUGAGUGACAUGACUGGAGCCAUUAGGAGGCUCAUCCAAGAGUAAUCAUUCAUCAAAGGUGCUCAGCCCAGCAGGUGUUUGCCACCAUUCCGCAAUGGAUGAAGCGGGCAGUGACUCCACCAGCGUGAGUAUGCAGGAGAACAUCUUCUCCACAACCAGCACUGCUCCAGCAGAUCGCUAGGUGAGAAGCAAAUCAAAUUGACUUGAAACAUGGAGUACCUUUCACAUUGUCAUUGAGAAGAAGACUUGCCGAACAAUCUCCACGAAACCUCAACACUGUUUUGGAUUGGUAUUUCCUACCAAGUGCACCACGCAGUGUCAAUGUGACAAAAGACAACUAGAAGUAAGGGCUCCAGCUGCUCCUCUAACAUUGCCGGGACAGCCUCCAGAAUAAAUUUCCAGCUCCUA